UCGUGGCUGCCCGAUUUGUCAGGACACUUAUCCCCGGGGCCUUACGCAUUCCUUAGGGAGCUGUCCCUGCUUUGGGCCGUGGUCCGUUGCAUACGGCGCCCACCUACUUUGUAGGUUCUCCGGGAUUGCACAUCCAACGGUCGGGUGGCUACGCA
rfam:Labrenzia alexandrii DFL-11 scf_1101159010753 genomic scaffold, whole genome shotgun sequence.